rnacentral:lncRNA from 1 species
UCAUGAACCAAAAAUUCACACUUUUGGCUAUUUAACUGUAGGUGAUUAUCUUCCAACAAUUUCAGAACUUUCUCCAAGUCCUUAAAAUGAGUUUCUUUAUCUUUGCUAAAGACAAGUAUAUCAUCAAAAUAAACAACAGUACAUAUAUUUAAAAGGGGUUUUAGUACCUCUGUCAUGAGUUUCAUGAAGGUGGAGGGAGCAUUUGACAUUCCAAAUGGCAUAACUAGUCAUUCAUAAAGGCCCUUGCUAAUCUUAAAUGCAGUCUUCCACUCAUCACCUUCCCUUAUUCUUAUUUGGUGAUAUCUACUCUUCAGGUCUAGCUUUGAAAAAUAUUGAGCCCCCACUAGCACAUCAAGGAGUUCCUCCAAUCUAGGGAUUGGAAAUCUGUACUUUAUGGUUAUUCUGUUGAUAGCAGAGCUAUCAACACACAUUCUCCAUUUCCCAUUUUUUUUGGGGGCAAGUAAGACAGAAACAGCACAAGGACUGAUGGAGUGUCUAAUCAGCCCUUUUUUCAGAAGUUGCUCUACUUGUUGCUGCAAAAUUUCAGUCUCCAUUGGGCUUAAUCUGUAGUGUGCUAAAUUAGGAAGUGAGGCACCCGGUUCUAAGUCAAUCCUGUGAUACACUGAUUUGUGUGGUGGUAACUUGACUGAAUUAUCACUUCUUACUACUGGAAAUAAUCUCAAGAUAUCCUCCACCACCUUUGGUAUCACUAUUUUUUUUGUUUCUUUUUUUUCCUUUACUAUUACAGCCAGCCCUUCCUCUUUGAUGCUAAGUGUUCUUUUGAAGUAAUUUUCAGCCUGAAUUAUCAGAUUUGGUUUCUCAGAUGAUAUUGUUGAUUCAGGUAGUAGAGGUGAUAAGGCUACCUUCAUGUCAUCUACUUUAAUCACAUAUUGAUUAGUUCGACCAUUGUGAUUUCCAUACACAUCGAAUUGUCAAGGCCUUCCCAAGAGAAUGUGGGUGGCAUUCAUAUCUACCACGUCACAUUGUACCUCAUCCUUGUAUCUUCUCCCUAUAGAUAAGGGAACCAUACAAGAUUUGUUCACUUCUACUGAGAUAGAGUCACCUUUUUUAAUCUAUCCCACCUUGUAAGGUCUUGGAUGAUCUUCUAUCUUCAACCCCAAGUGCUUGGCUGCCUUUGCUGAAAUUAGAUUAUCCGUACUGCCAUUGUCCACUAUUAUAUCACAUACCUUCCCCAUCACAGUGCCUCGGGUCUUGAAUAAGUUGUUUCUUUGUGAAUUCAUUUCAAGGUGGGGUGUGUGGUAACUUUUAUGAACUAAACAAAAUAAUCUUGGUUCUUCAUCAGGUGGUGCUUCAUCAUCAUAAUCGUCACAAAAAUCACUAUCUUCUCCUUCAACCACCCUUUUCCCUUUCUCAUCGACUAGGUGGACUUCUCCACAUUUGGGGCAGGUAUUUGACUUGUGUCCCCACUCAUUGCAUCUGUAACAUUUUGUUACUGAAAUUUUCAAACUUUACUUUUUUCUGUUCAGUUGUGUAAUCAAUCCUCUUUGCUUCCUCAGGUGUUGGCAAUAUACCCCUAUCUGUAGGCUGUCCCCAUCUGUUUGAAGUUGAACCAUAAGUGUACUUGGAG